GGCAUGCCUUACACAUGCAAGUCGAACGGCAGCACGGGAGCAAUCCUGGUGGCGAGUGGCGAACGGGUGAGUAAUAUAUCGGAACGUGCCCAGUCGUGGGGGAUAACGUAGCGAAAGCUACGCUAAUACCGCAUACGAUCUAUGGAUGAAAGCGGGGGAUCGCAAGACCUCGCGCGAUUGGAGCGGCCGAUAUCAGAUUAGGUAGUUGGUGAGGUAAAGGCUCACCAAGCCGACGAUCUGUAGCUGGUCUGAGAGGACGACCCAGCCACACUGGGACUGAGACACGGCCCAGACUCCUACGGGAGGCAGCAGUGGGGAAUUUUGGACAAUGGGCGCAAGCCUGAUCCAGCAAUGCCGCGUGCAGGAUGAAGGCCUUCGGGUUGUAAACUGCUUUGUACGGAACGAAACGGUGAGCUCUAAUACAGUUUGCUAAUGACGGUACCGUAAGAAUAAGCACCGGCUAACUACGUG
rnacentral:rRNA from 1 species